CUCACCUUUGCAUGUGGCCACACGGACAGGUCACAGUCAUGUGGUCCAACAUCUUCUAACCAGUAGAAUCAAUAUUAAUGCAAAAGAUUGGGAAGGAGACACGGCACUGCAUGAUGCUGUCAGAUUAAAUCGGUAUUAAAAUUGUUAAACUCCUUAUACUGGCAGGAGCCGAUAUGCAGAUCAAGAAUGCUGAGGGCAUUACGGCCACAGAACAGGUGAAGCAAUGGCAGUUUGACACAAAGGAGACAUUGGAGAAACUAGAACAGAUGAGAGAGGUUGGUCUGGCCUGACAGACACAUGGAGAUGCAUUGGAUUCAUUAGAGCAUCUGUGAACAGGUGCACGGCUGGAGAACAACCCCACCUCUGUCUGAGUAACUAUUUACUUUCUGUGUUAAUUAGUGC